rnacentral:tRNA from 1 species
GGACCCAUAGCUCAGUUGGUUAGAGCAUCUGACUCAUAAUCAGGGGGUCGCAGGUUCAAGCCCUGCUGGGUCCA